UAUAUAUUACAUGUAUAUAUAUGCUUGUCAAGGUAAAUUCCGUGUGUCUCACUACCAGGUUGCCUAGUUCCUUAAAAUCCUUUCCGUACUUACUUAUUUCAUCACUCGGUUUGUUGAAGGCUGACAUAAGACUUCCCUCUGUUAUUGUGUGUGACCAAAUUAUUUCAUAUGCUUUAAUAUUUUCUAUUCAGAAAAAAUACCCAUGUGUGUGAUAUUUCUAAUGUUUUCCAUAUUAAAUUCUAGAUUGAUUAAUGUUGAUAUCACCGUUCUUUCUUUCCUGUGUGUUUUCUUGGCAUUCCUGUGUUCCCCCGAUCCGUCCCAUUUUGUGUAACACAGAAUGUAUUUAGAACUGAGACCCUUCCAACCUCUUUGCCUUGUAGCCGAAAUAAUGAAACCAGCUACCCUUAGGUAAUAAUGUGCAUGCUUGACCUCACUUUUAUCACCCUGUCUCGAACUUCCUGUUUUUACCUCUCCUUUCUAAUUUUCUUACUUAGUUUUUUAAUUUAAUUUUUUCCCCUGAGCAUGCAUGAGCUGUUUUAACUAAAGUGAAGAAUAGAGUUUCUGUGUUUCAGCAUUUUUCCUUCUGUCCCCCCUUUCCUGUCCUGAGGAAAAUCUAUAUUGCCACCUUAGUGUGCCCACUACGGCCACAUGUUUCCAGUCUCCCUAUCUCAUGUCUCCAGAUGUCUUCUCAACAUCAUGCUCAUUUUAAAUUUUUUGUGCUGUUUCCCCCUUUGGGCUUCCAGGCACGGCUCUGCACGUGAGCUUAGCCAAAAGGCUGAAAGGUCUUCAUUCUGCAAACGUGACGAACGCAGUGGUUUUCAGCACGUGGGUCACGACCCCUCAGGGGUUAAAUGACUCUCACAGAGGUGCUUAAGACCAUCGGAAAACACAGAUAUUUACACUAUGAUCCGCAACAGCAGCAACAUCGCAGUUAAGGAGUAGCAAUAAUAAUCUUACGGUCGGGGUCAGCACACCAUGAGAAACUGUAUUAAAGGGGCACAGCAUGAGGAAGGCUGAGAACCAUGGCUCUAAAGGGAUGCCUGCCUGAACCUCUCUCGACAGUUCAGCCCUGAGCUGAGCUUCUCGUCUGCUCACACAUUCUGCUGCUAUUCUUCAGAGCCCUCCCUCAUGAAGCCACCACACCCCCAGGCACAGAUACAGAAGCCAGGGAGUGACCCUGGGCUCCCUUGCCCUGCUUCCCACCCCUCCCUUAAGCCUUCUCUCCUGAUUCUCCACUCCUGCAGCCUUUGCUCAGCCCUCUCAUCACCCUGAUUUCCCCUCAGAGCCCCUGUGUGGGCCAUAUUAUAUGUAUAAUGGCCGUAUUAUUCCCCACGUAAUAGUUUCUCAGGGUCCCUUACAUUGUACAUGAAAAACCUACACUCUUUUAUGCAGCAGACAAGACCCUCUGUAGUUGGGCUGCUGCUCACGUUUCCAGACACAGCUCCUAUCACUUUCUCAUGCAGACUUCGCUUCAGUAACUGAGCUGUGUCCCAGGAACGGCCUCUGAGACUUUGCUCAUGCCAUUCCCUCUCAUUCUUUACGACUUUUGGCUCAAGUUCUCCAGAUCGUUAUCUGGCUUCUUUGAUCUACUAACUUCUCAGUUUGUGGAUUUACCUCUGACUUUCAUCUAAGAUUAGCACUGUUUUGUUUCUGGCUCUGUUACACAUCCUUGCUAGAAAACACUUGACCUCCCUUAGAAACUGGUUCUGUGUGGAGCACACAGUGGGUGCUCAGUGACCUUCCUUAGAAACUGGUCCUGUGUGGAGCACACAGUGGGUGCUCAGUGACCUUCCUUAGAAACUGGUUCUGUGUGGAGCACACAGUGGGUGCUCAGUGACCUUCCUUAGAAACUGGUCCUGUGUGGAGCACACAGUGGGUGCUCAGUGACCUUCCUUAGAAACUGGUCCUGUGUGGAGCACACAGUGGGUGCUCAGUGACCUUCCUUAGAAACUGGUCCUGUGUGGAGCACACAGUGGGUACCCAGUACACAUGUGGGUUCAUGACUCAGUGUCUGUUCAGGAAUGUACUUGCUGUGAUGGAAUGAUUUAGGUGUUUGGGGCAGCAAGUUAAUUUGAACAGAGCAGGAGCACAUGGCUGUUGGCUUCCUAGUAGUUAAGAAACAGCGCCUUGUGACUAUUCAAAGUCAGCUAGGUGCACGGCACUAGAAAAGGGAAGAGACUGUACUUCUAACAGUGAUGACCUGGACUCAGAUUCUUGGGUUCAUGGACAUCGUUGCUGAUGAAACUUUAGCAUGGGGGUGGUCUGGACAGCAGCACCUGCCUUGGCUCUUCAAGAUUCUGGAAAGAGCAUCUGCCAUCACAGAAGACGUGGAGAGAUAUUUUUCUAGCUCAACCACUUUAAUUAGAGGUGAGGCCACUGUGGCAUUUGUUCUGUUGCCCCAGAGCUGAGAGGGACAGAUGUGCAGUGGGCAAUGAAAACAUUCAGCAACUCAAUACCUGAGGAUCGAAGUGGGCUGCUAGGCCGUGGCUGCUGGGAACUUCCACAGCAGAUGGGCCAUGAGGAAAUGAAAAGUCAUUUCCUGCGUGGACAGCCACACUGACAAUGACACUGCUAGGCACCAGAACACCACCUCCACCACACAGAGCACACAGAAAGGAAGGUAAGGCUCAAACGGCCAACUGGGAGGGCAGCUAUGGCUUUAUCAGCCGAUUGGUGACCACUGAGCUUUCCCUCUGGCUGUGCUUGUCAGCCGCUCACAGCCUCUGCUUUAGCUGGUCACACGAGGGAGGUGGGCUGGUGGCAUCCCCGGCGCCACCUCACAUGCCUGUGUGGGGAACCAGGAGAGAUGACGGACUGCUGUUUGUCUAAGCGUGGUGCAUGUGCAAAAGAAUGGUUAUUAUUAAUUAUUAAGAUGACCUCUCACUUAAACCUCGGCUAUCUUGUGCUCCUUUUCUCCACAGACCGUGUACGCCAUGCAUCUCAGUACUUGGGAGGCUGAGGCAGAAGCACUGUGUGGAUUGCGGCCAAUUCUUAAAGGAGAAGUAGAUAUUUUGACAUGAACCCAAACAUUCAGAAGAGAAGGUUAGAAGAAGGAAGUCCACCCUGGAGAGGCCCUGCUCAGAGGAGAGAUGGUGACUCCUCCCUGCUGUGAGCUCCAGGCCAGGCUCACCUUGGGGAUAUUGAACAUCAGACCAAAGGAAUAUCAUUGAUAGCGAAUCAGGACCUUCCCAAGAUGUUUGACAAGCUUUGGUUGACGAUCUCUUGGAAAGGAGUACAGUGAAGCCAAGAGGGCUACGAGUCAUGUCAACAUCACCGCGCACAUCGAUACGUAGGCAACACAUGUAGCCUUUGAAAAUCCCAUCUCUCCUACCAGCCUUGCAAACACAGGCAAAGCUACUCAAACUGUCUGAGGUUCACCGUCCUUGCCCGAGAGAUGGGGUUAUUAAUAUCAGGCUCCUAGUGAUGACGUGGAUAUGUGAACCCGUUGUCUCUGAUGUCUAUUGUCAUCGGUCCCGUCCAGAAGGACAUUUCUGACAAUCUUGACCCAGUGGCAGUAGAUUGGUGAUCAUUUCUCCUCAGCAGGCCUACAUGGUCGGGAUCGAUCUAGCUAAGCAGAAAGGGGCUCUGAUGGAUGGGUAAGGUUGUGAUUUUCCUUCUUUUCCUGUGCAUGACAUUGGGCUGUCUCCUACAGGACAAAUAGAACACUUCUAAAACAAACAAAUACACAUGCGCAAGAAAAAAGAGAAAGAAAAAAAAAGUAAAAGUAGAAAACUAGAGAUGAUGACGUGGGGCUGAGGGUAGGGCACCGGAGGCAGCAGUGGCAGAGGCACAGGGACCCGUGGGACCUUCUCUUUCCAUGACGCGGGUGUCUGCGUGGGGUGGUGGCGGCCGUGAUGUUAUUUCAGCAGAAUGACUUUUGUCCGUUUCACACCACAUUUAGAGUCACCAGGAGUUUACUCUCAUCUGUAAAAUAUGUGGAGUUCACCCGUUUCCACAGCCAAGAAUUCCCUUCUGCCAGUGGGCAGUGGAGGUCCCUGGGUGGAACCGCAGCCAAGAAAAGCUUUCUGCAAAGGGCAGAGGAGCAGGGGGCUGGGUGUCUAGGCAUCUGGGGAGGAAGCUGCAGAUGUGACUGUUGCAAAGCACUGAAGGACCCGGGUGGUUAAUUCAUCCCCGGCUACUAGCAGGCAGGGUGAUGAAACCAAGAAGAGACAGAGGCCCUGAGAACUCUUACACUUCCUUCCCCACUCGAUAAGGGCGAAGCAGAUGAAUGGAUGGAUGCUGGUACUCUGUGCUCAUACGUCAGCCGUCAGCCACGAUCCACUCUUUAAUCCACCUUCCCUGGGGAGCUUCUCAGAGCUACCCUCAGCCAGGCCGACACACUUGGUGUGAGCGCGUUCUGCGACACAUGCGCCAGACUCAUUCUAGAGAAGGCCGACUUGAAGGAGAACCCAGAUGGGGAAGUCAUGGUUGCAGCAGGAGCUGGGACAACAUGGAGCUGUUCUGUCCUUUACAGUAAGGAAAUAAUAAGGUUGAUGGGACACAUGGGGAAGGCGGGCAGAAGUAGAGUGAAGCGAUCCAACUUGGCAUGCCGGGGAAGUUAUUAUAUAACAAUAAGAAACUCUGCAAAGGGUGCCAAGCGAGAAUUUGGAGAACAGAAGUGCUUAUAAAGAUUGGUAAAUAUGAAGGUGCUUGUUCCUAUAAAAUACACCAUUUAUGAAGUCAAAAGUGUUCGCCAAACGGGUUUGUGAAUAGACUCCUUUGGGGGAUUCAGUGGUGGUGCAGAGCUAAGCAUCUAAGCACACACAGGGUAAGCACACAAAGCCUUGCUGACAGGGGCGAAGAAAUGUCGGGUUGAGUUCCAUUCCAGUGACAUGCGGGAAAAGUGUCCUGAUGAAGGUCAGAGCAAUGUGGAAGGCACAAGUAAAACAAAACGUGGAGGGGGCAGGUUGGGCAUGCGAUUGGAAAGAUGAGUGGUGUUUGCCUCAAAGGCCAGGAGAAAAUGGACACUUUUAUAAAAGGUUGAGAGGAGAGGUGUGGGAGAGAGCCUCCAAGUACUCUACAUACCCUGCUUGGGGUGGAGACACAGUGAGGUAAACUCUUUUUUUUCUCUUUGCAUGUGCAUGUUGUGUGUGUGUGUG
rnacentral:sRNA from 1 species